GGAGAAUAGCUGGCUUCAGGUAAAGUUUCACAAUUCUCUAUCAUACUUACGUGUAGUCACGUUUUGUUUUGUAUAGCGGAGGGUCUUCCUGGCGAUGCCCGUCAAGUAGCCGUAACAUAGAGAGCAUGAAACUCUCUCCUCUCUGCCUGAUCGGGCCAAGCUAAGGCUUUAAAGAACCGCUGCUGUUUUGCUGCACCGAAAAGAGACGGGUUUCUGGCGCAGGGUCAUCACCCGUACUGCUGAUCCUGUGUGACUGUUUUUAUAAAUUGUAUUUUUACUAUUGUAUACAAAUAAACUGUUCUAUUUUUGAUAAUUGGA